rnacentral:rRNA from 1 species
UACGGAGGGUGCAAGCGUUACCCGGAAUUAUUGGGCGUAAAGCGUCCGCAGGCCGUUUGUUAAGUUAAAUGUAAAAUCUUGAAGCCCAACUUUAAGUUUGUAUUUAAAACUGGCAGACUAGAGUUUUCCAGAGGCAUGUGGAAUUCUGUGUGUAGGGGUAAAAUCCGUUGAUACGCAGAGGAACACCAAAAGCGAAGGCAGCAUGCUGGGGAAAUACUGACGCUCAUGGACGAAAGCGUGGGGAGCGAACGGG